UACCAGCACCCCGAGUGGUCGGGACGUUUAUUGGGCCUAAAGCAUCCGUAGCCGGUUCUACAAGUCUUCCGUUAAAUCCACCUGCUCAACAGAUGGGCUGCGGAAGAUACUAUGGAGCUAGGAGGCGGGAGAGGCAAGCGGUACUCGAUGGGUAGGGGUAAAAUCCGUUGAUCCAUUGAAGACCACCAGUGGCGAAGGCGGCUUGCCAGAACGCGCUCGACGGUGAGGGAUGAAAGCUGGGGGGAGCAAACCGG
rnacentral:rRNA from 1 species